GUGGCACUUACAUUUGGGAUUUGGGAUUUUCCAAUGAUUUCGCCCUUGCCAUACAGUUUUAACAGCAUUUGACUCCUCUAGUAGUACAAAAUUUCUGGCUCGGCCACUGAAUACAAGAUAGCCAACAAUCCCAAUGUUCAUCUGAAGAAAAAAAUAUGAUUCCAAUAGUGGUACGCAUACGAGGCGCUGGAACAGUCUGGUCUCUCAAGUCAAAGUCAGCUUGGAAGAAAUCAAAUGCCGGCGGGCGUCGGCCAGAUGAGCACUCUUGACCUUUUUGACUCGGCGGCGGGAGCGGUGAGGAGAAACAGAGAGAUGAGCACGUAAACCCAGCAGGGCCGCGAACGAACCACCGUCUCCUCCUUUCCGAUCCCCUCCGCCCCUCCCCUCCCCUCCCCCCCGACCCGACCCCAGCACAAAGCAUCGCUCUUCUGCAUCCCCCGAGGACCAGCCCCUCCACGGCGCGCUCGCUCGCUCUGCCCGGAGGCCUCGUCGCCUGCCUGGGUCCCCACCAAGGUGCGCACCGUCCUCCGGUGGGGGAUGGAGCCGAUCCGAUCCGAUCCAGGGGAUUCCUCACCUCCUGGAACUGGACCCGGCACAGGUGGCCGCGGUGAAGGGCGCCAUCGACGACGGGGCCUGCCCGCUCGAUCCCCUCUCCGACGCCUCCGACUCCGACUCCGACUCCGACUCCAGCGGCGGCGGCGACGACGAGGAGAGCGACCACCCUCCAAAGCAGGGGAAGGCCGUCUCUUCUUCCCCGGUUCGACAGCUUAGACAAGGCAACGACCUGCUACACAGGUCAUUUCCGACGGAGUUGCUUAUUGCGUGCCUCCUGGUCCUGGGCAGCGACGACGACCCGCGACGGGCUUUGGCCUUUCCUUGACGCCACGUUAGCGCGUGCGAUCGCAAGACAGCAACACGGGAGCGACUGAAGAAGGCAAGAUCCUACGUACACGCAACGAAGACUGCUGCUAUAGGACAACUUCAUGUGAACCAACAUCAGCUCAAUCCAGUCUAGCUCUGGUUCCUGCAACUGAUACGCCUGAACAUGUGCAACUCGUAUGUUCAUAUCAAGCGACCUGAUGCUCGUUCGUGCAACUGGGUAGACAUUCCCGACGAUCGGGGCGCGGCCGUGAGACAAGGACGACGAGCCCGUUGGCGUCCUGCGCCGACAGCCGGCCUCGCCAACUGGACUGGAACGGCGACUCCAAGCCCGUGGGCCCAAUCCUCGUCCUCGCCGUCGUGCUCAUGGUGGGCUGGGGGCGACGGCCGCUCUGUAUCCCGCAGCUCCACCUGCUGCCCGUCGCCUUCGAGCAUGGUCGUGACGAGGCCUCUGGACUUCGCCGGCGGCUACCGCUGCUUUGUCGGCGCAAGGCGAGACCUCUGGACUUCUCCCUCCAUAGACACAACCAUGGUCGUGUGAGGAGCAGGGGAAGAAGACCCGUAGCCACCAGCUGUUCCAUGAAGUGGUCAUCAAGGAAAAAUAUGAGCUUUAAAUGAAAACGAAAUUUGUCAGACUAAACCAGUGCCACAUAAGCAAGAUGUGUAUUUGUAACCGCAUCUUGGACCGCAUGUAUCAUGUAUUUUUAUGUACAAGGACUAUAUUGGAAUACUUUCUGAGUUUGAGGAAGGUUG